GCUGCAGCUUCGGUACAAGCUAAAGUCUACAGAGACAAAAAGGAUCUCCAAUUGAUACUCAAGAAAGGAUAUUUUAUUUCAAAAAAAACUCAGGAAAGGAUUAUGACAUCGGAAGUAUAUGUAAAUAAAUGUAUAUUCUAUGGGUGAUAAUUUGAAUUUUUUUGAACCAGUUAUUGCUGACUUCUUCAUGUGAGGACAAUGGACCACCUACUACAGUAACCAGCAUAUGUGUGUUCAUUUUAAAGCACUGACUGUGACCGGAGUGCCUAUGCCUUUAAAAGUUAUAUCUAUUCGAUUUCUUAUGCAUCAAUCUAUGCCAUUUGGCACAUUCAUUACCUUCGGUUUACUUAUAUUUAAAUGUACAUUUUAUUACCUUUGAUUUACUUCUAUUUUAUUUUAUAAAUAGUAGGGCGUGCAUCGCUCGCCUAAUGUUCUAGUGCACAUGAAAAAGGCCGCCCAAGCAUGGAUGCAUCAUCAACCAGGCCUUUACUGUUAUUAGCCUAUAUACUCGCUUCCAAUCGUUGUAGCUAAUAAGUCAGUUGGCUGUCAAUAUUUCUCUGCAGAUACUCUUUGCAUUGGCAACAGCUGCGGUAAAGAUGCAAAUUUCUAAGCGAUCACAGUUGGCCGCAGAUGCUACCUACAGAAGUAGCAACAGCAGCAAUAGUUUUGAUGCUUCUCAAGGAUAUGGUUGGGCAACUUCUCAAGGAGAUGUUUCUUGAUCUUGGACCUACUUUUAUUAAAGUUGGACAAUCGCUUUCGACAAGACCUGAUAUCGUAGGUUCGGAGAUUUGUGAGGUUAGGUAAAUUUCUCCUUGUUUUGCAUUUUUGUUGCUUUAUCAUCUUUUGCUUGGUAGUUUAUUGGUCCUCGUAUUCUUUAACGUGCACGGCACGAAGAAGACUUAUUAGUUCAGAACACUGAACAAUCAGCUUCCAGAUUGACGAUUUUGACUAAAACGGGAAAGGCAAAGCAUAGGACAGCAGAAUAUAAUCAAUAAUGUCAUCCUUGUUUCGGUACCGGAUUCAACUUGCCAACUGAGGCUUCUGCUCUGCUCGUAACGUCGCUCACGGGAUCAAAUCAAAGUUCAGCAGUGAUUGAGAAUAUUCAGUAGUACGAGCUCUGUUCUUAAAUAUAUCAUGUUUAUGACAAGGUAAUUAGUUCAAAAAUAAAAUAAUUAGCUUGUCAUAGACGUCAUAUGUUUAGGAAUGGAGAAAGCGCUAGCUGCUCCACCAUCGAGACUCCAGAGUGUUUGAGAUGAGUGUAAAUGGACUUCUAUUCCAGUCUAGUGUAGUAUGACAGUAUGACACACUAUGAUGGGCAACUAAUUUUGCCAUAGUUUUCCUUUGACAUUUUAAUAUUAAAAAAAUCAGAUAUUUAACUGAUCA